GUGUGUUAUAAGAGACGGGAAAUCGUUUUCCACCUGAGUCGUGCACUUGGCCUGAAAUAACGACCGCUCCUGUCUUAUCUCUUCCAGCUCGAGAGAUGACCCGUGGGAAGUUCCUCAAUAUCUUGGAGAAGGUGAAGAAGUGACUGAGUGGAUGAUCAUUAAGAGAAUUGACUGUGGACGUGUUAUGGCGAUCGUUCAUUUUCUAACUCUGUCCAUAUGAGAGGACCCAGGAUGGGUGUUGCUCCCCAGACCGCAUUAAAGCACAGCCACUCUUAGUAAAGAGGCAGCUAAAACGUUUUUGUGAAUUUUAAACUUUCCUGAACAGAAAUCAUUACUUUGAACAAUGUGCAAAUUAAAGAGAUAUUUGCAAAUUGUCCAGUUACAAUCUAAAAGCAUAUUUUUCAAAACUGUUUAAGAACAAGUUUUAUGGUUGCUAUAUUAGUCUAUGAAAUGGCUAUCAAAGUUUUGCUAGUUCAAGAACUUAAAUUUCUUUACCUAACGUGGCACUCUAUGCACCUCUGUAGUGGUUAUGGUGCAAAAAGUCCACUGGUGCCUCCUCACAGUAAGAAGCCAAAAUUUUUUUAAACAGUUUGACACUAACCUUGGUUGCAAACGAUACUUUUUUUUUUUUUUUUUUUCUUCUUCUUUUAAAAUAUAGUCAAAGCAGAUGUUCCCAUUCUACUUUCGUAAAUCUUUCGACCUCAUUUAUUAAAUGUGCAAAAUGUCUUUUAGCCAAUGAAUUGAACUUUAUUGAUAUCGUAGAAGACCGGCAGAGCAGUGGGCUCCUGAAGCAUCCUAGGCUUGACUGUGAUUGGGGGCCAGUGUCUACAACUAUUAAAAUAUUCUGCUAUUUAGUGGAAGUAGUGCCUUGUUACUUAUUUAAUAUUUUUUUUCAUAAAAGGAGCGAUUUUGCAGGCCUACAUAGUUAAUUAUGAGAGAACCCAGAAUGAGGGAGAUGGUAUUGCAUACCGGGAUGCUACAAUGGAGCUUAGAGUGUUCCUUUAAACUGUUACCUGCAACUGUAUUCUAAAUUACUGAUCAUGGAGCUCUUCAGGUGGGUGCAGUGUGUUCACAAACUUCUACAAUCAGUUGAAUAUGUUCACAAAGCUCUGGAUGAGUUGGUGCUGUGUGACCAUAGAGCUCUGCAGGUGGUUGGAUGGGAUCAGUGUGUUAAUGUGCAGCUCUGCAAAUGGCUGGGUGCAAUGUGUGAUCACAGAGCUCUGCCGGUGGGUGGAUUGAUGCCGGGUGUUUGAUCACAGAGCUCUACAGGUGGGUGGAUUGCUGCCGGGUGUUUGAUCACAGAGAUCUACAGGUGGGUGGAUUGCUGCUGGGUGUUUGAUCACAGAGCUCUGAAGGUGGGUGGAUUGACGCUGGGUGUUUGAUCACAGAGCUCUACAGGUGGGUGGAUUGCUGCCGGGUGUUUGAUCACAGAGCUCUACAGGUGGGUGGAUUGCUGCCGGGUGUUUGAUCACAGAGCUCUGAGGUGGGUGGAUUGACGCUGGGUGUUUGAUCACAGAGCUCUGCCGGUGGGUGGAUUGCUGCCGGGUGUUUGAUCACAGAGCUCUGCCGGUGGGUGGAUUGACGCUGGGUGUUUGAUCACAGAGCUCUACAGGUGGGUGGAUUGCUGCCGGGUGUUUGAUCACUGAGCUCUGCCGGUGGGUGGAUUGACGCUGGGUGAUUGAUCACAGAGCUCAGGAUUAUGAAGAAUAUAUCCCCUCCAUGGAGCCUGAAUAUAGAGGAAUAACAAAGUUCAUGUUUCACUCUUUCCAAAGCCAUCAAACACUGUGAGGAAAUUGCCACUUACCCCAAGAACGUAUCACCUUUCGCCUUGAGACAUACAGUUGUUGGAACUUCAAAUGUUAGUCCAAAAUAAAUAUAGCCAAGCUGGAAACAUAACUGACCUGCAGAGUUUAGAUUUUUGUCUAAAAAUUUGAAAUUCACUUUGAACCCUAACCAUUCACACUCUAGUAAAUGGCCCUGUAAGAAUCUUUAUAUACUAUAUGGAUAAUCGACUGUCACGUCCAUAUGAGCAUGUUGGACAUCCCAUUUCAAAACUAUGGGCUUAAAAUGGUUAUUCCAAGCACCAUAACCACUUCAUGGAUUGGAAGUGAUCAUGUUGCCUGGGAGGGGCAUAACUAGGAAUCACAGGACCCUGGUGGAAGAAUCAAAGGAAGGUCCCGUUACCGCCCUCCUUGCUUCCCCUAAGCAGUACAUCUGAGUGGGAUAUGUGCGGUGGCUGAGUGUGAUUCUGUGUGGGGAAUGGUUGAGUCCGAUUGUGUUGACGGAGUGUGAUUGUAUAUGAGGUUUGGCUGCAUGUUGAGUGAUUGGUCCUGCUUGGGUCCCCUCCAUAAACAUAGCAAGCCCCUGUGCUGAUGCUUAUAUCCUGGCUUCACUUCCAACACACUGGCGUCAGAGUAUUCCCAUACUCCGCCAAUAAGCUCCUGCUGGGGGAGUAACACAGUGACACAGCUGUUUUUUAAAUUAAAGCUCUUUAAAUUAAAAUUUCUGCUAGCACAAUGUACAGAUGGAAUUUAAUGCUCUUUAAUAUAACAUACAUUUAUUAAUAAUACAUGUAUGUGUAUGACCGGGUCAAAGGUGUGGGUGUCGAAGGAAGAGAUUUAGGUCCCAGAAUCAAAACCAUCUGUAUCCCCUUCAGGGAGUAAGAAAAAAAAACUACAUUUCCCAGCAAGCAGCUCUACAGGUGAGGGAUAACCAAGGACCCACACCUAACUUUAAUUAAAGUUUAAAUGGUCUUUAACCCCUAAAGGACCAAACCUCU
rnacentral:lncRNA from 1 species